rnacentral:tRNA from 1 species
GGUGCGGUACCCAAGUGGUAAGGGAGCAGUCUGCAAAACUGUUAUUUCGCCGGUUCGAUUCCGGCCCGCACCU